rnacentral:rRNA from 1 species
AAUGAACGCUGGCGGCAUGCCUAACACAUGCAAGUCGAACGAGACCUUCGGGUCUAGUGGCGCACGGGUGCGUAACGCGUGGGAAUCUGCCCUUGGGUUCGGAAUAACAGUGAGAAAUUACUGCUAAUACCGGAUGAUGACGUAAGUCCAAAGAUUUAUCGCCCAAGGAUGAGCCCGCGUAGGAUUAGCUUGUUGGUGAGGUAAAAGCUCACCAAGGCGACGAUCCUUAGCUGGUCUGAGAGGAUGAUCAGCCACACUGGGACUGAGACACGGCCCAGACUCCUACGGGAGGCAGCAGUGGGGAAUAUUGGACAAUGGGCGAAAGCCUGAGCCAGCAAUGCCGCGUGAGUGAUGAAGGCCUUAGGGUUGUAAAGCUCUUUUACCCGGGAUGAUAAUGACAGUACCGGGAGAAUAAGCCCCGGCUAACUCCGUGCCAGCAGCCGCCGUAACAC